GAUGAACGCUGGCGGCGUGCCUAAUACAUGCAAGUCGAGCGAACAGACGAGGAGCUUGCUCCUCUGACGUUAGCGGCUGACGGGUGAGUAACACGUGCAUAACCUACCUAUAUUACUGGGAUAACUUCGGGAAACCGGAUCUAAUACCAGAUAAUAUGUUCAACCGCAUGGUUCAAUAGUGAAACACGGUUUUCCUGUCACUUUUAGAUGAUUCCGCGCCGCAUUAGCUAGUUGGUAAGGUAACGGCUUACCAAGGCAACGAUGCGUAGCCGAUCUGAGAGGGUGAUCAGCCACACUGGAACUGAGACACGGUCCAGACUCCUACGGGAGGCAGCAGUAGGGAAUCUUCCGCAAUGGGCGAAAGCCUGACGGAGCCACGCCGCGUGAGUGAUGAAGGUCUUCGGAUCGUAAAGCUCUGUUAUUAGGAAAGAACAAAUGUGUAAGUAACUAUGCACGUCUUGACGGUACCUAAUCAGAAAGCCACGGCUAACUACGUG
rnacentral:rRNA from 1 species